rfam:Beta vulgaris subsp. vulgaris Bvchr8.sca001.con0030.1, whole genome shotgun sequence.
AGGUGAAUAACAGUGCAAUUCUCCUCGGGCAUAUGGAAUGUGCAUGCAUUGUGCAUAACUUAUAUGCCAAAGGAGAAUUGCCCUGCUAUUCACCA